rnacentral:rRNA from 1 species
GCAAGUCGAACGGUAACAUAGCUAGCUUGCUAGCUGAUGACGAGUGGCGGACGGGUGAGUAACGCGUAGGAAUCUACCUAUUAGUGGGGGACAACCUGGUGAAAACCAGGCUAAUACCGCAUACGCCCUACGGGGGAAAGCAGGGGAUCUUCGGACCUUGCGCUAUUAGAUGAGCCUGCGUUAGAUUAGCUUGUUGGUGAGGUAAUGGCUCACCAAGGCGACGAUCAGUAGCCGACCUGAGAGGGUGAUC